rnacentral:rRNA from 1 species
UACGUAGGGGGCAAGCGUUGUUCGGAUUCAUUGGGCGUAAAGGGUGCGUAGGUGGCGCGGUAAGUCGGGUGUGAAAUCUCGGGGCUUAACUCCGAAACUGCAUUCGAUACUGCCGUGCUUGAGGACUGGAGAGGAGACUGGAAUUUACGGUGUAGCAGUGAAAUGCGUAGAUAUCGUAAGGAAGACCAGUGGCGAAGGCGGGUCUCUGGACAGUUCCUGACACUGAGGCACGAAGGCCAGGGGAGCAAACGGG